rnacentral:lncRNA from 1 species
AUGCGCGCACACUCACUCACGUGCACACACACUCACUCACGUGCACACUCACUCACGCACACACACACACUCACUCACUCACCACACUCACUCACGCACACACACACACUCACUCACUCACUCAUGCGCGCACACUCACUCACACGCACGCACACACACACACACUCACUCACGCAAACACACACUCACUCACUCACGCGCACACACUCACUCACUCACGCACACACUCACUCACUCACUCCUGCACACACUCACUCACUCACUCACUCAUGCACUCACUCACUCACUCACUCAUGCACACACACACUCACGCACUCACACACUCACGCGUGCAUACACACACACACACAGUCACUCACUCACUCGCGCACACACACACACACACAGUUACUCACUCGUGCACAGUCACUCACUCGUGCACAGUCACUCACUCACGCGCACACUCGCUCACUCACACGUGCUCACUCACUCACACACGCGCUCACACACAUCGCACACUCACACGCGCACGCUCACUCACACUCACUCACUCACAUCGCCACACUCACUCCUCACACUCACUCACACACGCGCACACUCACUCACUCACCACACGCGCACGCUCCACUCGAACUCACACUCGUGCACACUCACUCACUCACACGCACACACUCACUCACUCACUCAUGCACACACUCACUCACUCACUCACUCAUGCACUCACUCACUCACUCACUCACUCAUGCACACACACUCAAGCACUCACACACUCACGCGUGCGUACACACACACACAGUCACUCACUCACUCGCGCACACACACACACACAGUCACUCACUCACGCGCACACUCGCUCACUCACACACGCGCUCACACACAUGCACACUCACACGCGCACGCUCACUCACACUCACUCACUCGCACACUCCGCUCACUCACACGUGCUCACUCACUCACACACGCGCUCACACACAUGCACACUCACACGCGCACGCUCACUCACACUCACUCACUCACAUGUCCACACUCACUCCCUCACACUCACUCACACACGCGCACACUCACUCACGUCACGUCGCACACACUCACUCACACACACGCUCUCACUCACUCGACACGUGCACACACACACACACACAGUCACUCACUCACUCGCGCACACACACACACACAGUCACUCACUCACUCGCGCACACACACACACACAGUCACUCACUCACUCGCGCACACACACACACACAGUCACUCACUCACUCGCGCACACACACACACACAGUCACUCACUCACGCGCACACUCGCUCACUCACACACGCACAAUCACUCACUCACACGCUCACUCACUCACCACACACACACACACAGUCACUCCUUUACACAUGACACUAACUCACACACACCCGCUCACUCACUCACUCACACUCUGCACACUCACUCACUCGCGCACACUCACUUACUUACGCACGCUCACUCACUCACUCACUCACUCACUCACACACACACACACAGUCACUCCCUCACACAUGCACUAA